rnacentral:ncRNA from 2 species
ACGACCCUUAUUGAUUCGGGUGCCCGCCGCAGCUUCAGCGCAGGCGGGAGAAUAGGGAAGAGGGUGAAAGUCCCUCGCUGCCCCGCAACUGUAAGCGGUGACGAACGCCGAUCUUAAGGCCACUGUUUUUUACCUGCUUCAGGUAUCGGAAAACGGGAAGGCCCGGCCAGUAGGAUGACCCGCAAGCCAGGAGACCUGCCCGAAUGUCGGUUUACUC